CCCCGGCGCCACAAGUGGCAAUCACGUUUAUUGGGCCUAAAGCGUCCGUAGCCGGUUUGGUAAGUCUUUUGUGAAAUCGUUGCGCUUAACGUUAACGGUGUGCAAAAGAGACUGCCCGACUAGGAACCGGGAAGGGUCAGAGGUAUUCUGAGGGGAGCGGUAAAAUGUGAUAAUCCUCAGAGGACCACCUGUGGCGAAGGCGUCUGACUAGAACGGCUUCGACGGUGAGGGACGAAAGCCAGGGG
rnacentral:rRNA from 1 species